CCUACGGGAGACAGCAGUGAGGAAUAUUGGUCAAUGGGCGGGAGCCUGAACCAGCCAAGUCGCGUGAGGGAAGACGGUCCUAUGGAUUGUAAACCUCUUUAGGCGGGGAGCAAUGCCGGGCACGCGUGCCCGGAGGGAGAGUACCCGCAGAAUAAGCAUCGGCUAACUCCGUGCCAGCAGCCGCGGUAAUCAGGAGGAUGCGAGCGUUAUCCGGAUUUAUUGGGGUUAAAGGGUGCGUAGGCGGAUUUUUAAGUCAGCGGUAAAAUGUCCGGGCUCAACCCGGGCCGGCCGUUGAAACUGGGGAGCUUGAGUGGGCGAGAAGUAUGCGGAAUGCGUGGUGUAGCGGUGAAAUGCAUAGAUAUCACGCAGAACUCCGAUUGCGAAGGCAGCAUACCGGCGCCCGACUGACGCUGAGGCACGAAAGCGUGGGGAUCGAACAGGAUUAGAUACCCGAGUAGUC
rnacentral:rRNA from 1 species